rnacentral:rRNA from 1 species
CAGUCGCCGCGGUAAUACGUAGGUGGCAAGCGUUGUCCGGAAUUAUUGGGCGUAAAGCGCGAGCAGGUGGUUUAAUAAGUCUGAUGUGAAAGCCCACGGCUCAACCGUGGAGGGUCAUUGGAAACUGUUAAACUUGGGUGCAGGAGAGAAAAGUGGAAUUCCUAGUGUAGCGGUGAAAUGCGUAGAGAUUAGGAGGAACACCAGUGGCGAAGGCGGCUUUUUGGCCUGUAACUGACACUGAGGCGCGAAAGCGUGGGGAGCAAACAGGAUUAGAUACCCCCGUAGUCCCUGUCUCUUAUAC